rnacentral:misc_RNA from 1 species
CGGUGUUAGAAUUUUUUUUAAAGCCCGGUUUAGGAUCUUCAAUUCCAUUGACGGGACAGGUCCAUGGUUUAAGUUAGGCUUUCCUUUCAUUUCCUCGAAAAUUACAAUGUUACUAAGAAUACCGUGGUGCCAUAUGUCUUUUUUGUUCAUUUUGUAAAUUGAACAUUGUCAAUUGAACAUUGCAAUUGUAGGAGAGGAUUGUUUGAUUAACAACUUGCAAGCAUUUCACACUAUUUCUGCAAACAAAUAGCUCAAAAGAAAAAGAAAAAUGAGAAAUGUGGAAUAUAGAAGACAAACCAAAUAUCUUGCAAAUUCAACUAUAAAUUAGUACAAUACACUUCUCAAAUGUAUACCCAUCAUCAUACACUAUAUAAGAUUAGGUAAAAACAAAUAAGACUAGUAUUAUAAUAUAAGGGCUGCGGGCUUACAAUUUUUGUUUAGCCGCUUCAACCCCUAAAAGCUUCACAACUUAGCACACCAAACCCACCAAGCAUAACAUCAAAAAUAACCCGUUUUCACUCUCUUUUUAGUCCGUUCCCCUGAUGCCCAAAUACCCAUGUCAAAAUAAGCUGCUGCUGCUUUAAAAAACAAUUGAACCAAAAAGGGCAAUAAAUGGAUAUAGAUUAUGACGGGAAUUUUUCUUUUUGGGAUUUGGUUAAAAUUAAAUUAAUUGAAAUCAGACUCUGAAAUUCUUUCCGGUGAACGUUUGACCAAACUGCCAGUGGGCUGGGACUAUGUUCCAUGAAGUGGAAGUGCGUCUAUCACUGCCCGUGACCCUAAAGGAAAGUGACUGACCAACCAAAACAGCAUUUGACUGCCAGUUUUGACCCCAGUUACGACUCAUGCUCAUCCACCCAGUCCUCGAACCCUUCACGCUAACCUUCACGAUAUCCCCUGCACCCGCGACAUUGGAGAUCAAAACCAAAUUGAAGUAACGGAAACCGUUGACGGUGAACCUGAUACCGCCUCUCUUUCGGCAUGGCACCCUACGCAAACAAACCACAAACCGUAAGGACAAUUUGGUAAAUUAGAUCAGAGAAAAUGUUAACAUGAGACGCGGGGCGUGAUUUUAGCGUGGGACACCAAACGUGGACCCUACUUUCUAUCCUAAGAGGCUAGUAAGGAUUUGGGGAACAGAGUUAGUGUUUGACGAAUGCGGUGCUUUGAUUUUAUAGUCAAAAAGUGCGGUUCGCCCUUCGCAGUUACAGGGGAAGAAAAUUACAUAUGUGUAUCGCUCUCAAUUCUUGCAUCAUCAGCAAAGUGAAUGCAUGCUGAUGUACCUCCAAAAUGUAUAUAUAUAUAUGUAUAUACAUGUGCAUUGUCAAAAACGGCAGUGCGUUUUACUUCAACUAAAGCAACCAUCUCUGUUCUAAGGGUAAUCUGUUCCUUUAUGGAGGCAAAAAGAGGGAAAACUAACAACCGAAAGUGACUAUAAAGGGCCCCAUAGCUAAACUCUAGUAAACGACGGAAUAGGAGAAACGGCUGUAACCAACCCCAGCAUAGGAUUCGUCAACACCUUCAGCGGGAUAUCAGUUGGUAAAUUCAGUAAAAUACAGUGGGCAUUUCAGUCAUUUUAGCAGUAACUAGAUAGCAACUUUUCCCGCGGCAUAGCAAAAGCAAUAUACAAAAUCCGACCCAUACGGCUCCUCCAGACCCUGACCCACAUAACCCGCUCCAAAAAAAUAAUAAUUUUCUUCAUUAACUCUGAAAAACGUGUAUUAGUGCUUAAAAAACAAUAAAAAUAUUUUGUCAUGUAAAAUAAUGUGCAUGACUAUGUCAUUUAGCUAUUAAUUGAAGUAAUGGGAGAGCGUGCUAGUAAUGUUAAAAUGACAAAGAAGAAAUUGGCUUACCGGCGGUAGGCAACAGGGACGAUGCCGGAACGGUACUCGGCGAUCUUAAGGAACAUGGGCAUGGCGAGGUCGAAGUGGGGGCGAGGAGGGUUGCACCAUCCACCAUUGUCAUUAGGAAGAGCAUAAUUUGGUGGACAAAAGUUUGUAGCAGUAAUGAAAAUGGAAGGGCUGCCUGAGUGACACCAUUGUGGCUCAUUUGCGCACUUGAUUUCAUAGCAAGCACCGCAACUAAGACCAUUGUUGAACAGAGCUGUGCUCAGCGCUGCAGUGUUCACCCCAUAGCCUUGGCUGUACAGGUUGCCAUACCCACAAGCCCCACCUGAGGGGAAAAAAAAGGAUUUUAAGCUUCGGGUUUCCAGAUUUUUAGAGAACGGUAAAAAUCCAAGAAUGUUGAAGAGAACAUUAUAAAUGAAGUCAAAAGAUGCUCAUUUACAAGUAUUUUCUCAAAAAUCGCACAAUGAAGGUACAUGGAGGGAAAGAAAGGGACAUACCCAUGGUGCCGGAGGCAUCAGCACCACCAUAGAAGGUUGCAUGAGCACUUUGCCAAGCACCACCACUGUAAACACCUGGAAUUCUAGCUUCAGCCACCCACAUUAGCGACAUUACUAGAGUUGCAAUGGAAAUUACACUACCCGCUGCCAUUUUUUUUUCUCUCUCUUGACUACCAAACCCUCACUACAAACCCACUCCUAUUCUGCUCUGAGAAAAAGAGAAGGAGAGAGAGUGUUAAUGGAGAUGUGAGUGGCAGAGGAGAGGAAGAGCAGAGUACUUAAAGAGCAGGCAAAGGGAGUAGCUACAGGGGCG